rnacentral:tRNA from 1 species
GCCCUCUUAGUGCAGUGGGCAGCACGUGAGUCUCAUAAUCUGAAGGUCCUGAGUUCGAGCCUCAGAGACGGCA